CAAAAGAAGUAGGUAGCUUAACCUCCGGGAGGGCGCUUACCACUUUGUGAUUCAUGACUGGGGUGAAGUCGUAACAAGGUAACCGUAGGGGAACCUGCGGUUGGAUCACCUCCUUACCU
rnacentral:rRNA from 1 species